GAUUACAGGCACAUGCCACCAAGCCCAGCUAAUUUUUCUUGUUUUGUGUUUGUUUUUGUUUUGGGACAGAGUUUCACUCUUGUUGAACAUCUCCUUUUAAAAUGUAUUGUUUUCCUAAUUUUCGUUGAGUUGUCUGUGUUCUGCUGUGGCUUGCUGUGCUCCCUUAAAACAAUUAUUUUGAAUUCCUUGUCAGGAAAUAUUUAGAUCUCCACUUCUUUGGGGUUGGUUACUGUAAAAUUAUUGUGUUCCUUUCAUGGUGUCAUGCUUCCUCAGUUUUCAUGUUGCUUAAAGUCUUACAUUACUGUCUUUGUAUUUACUUGAGGAAGUCACUUCUUCCUGUCUUUGAUAACUGGCUUUGGGAGGAAAACACCUUCACCAGUUAACCAGGCUCAGGGAUUCUGAGGCUAUCUCGUACUUUUUCUACGGAUGCACCCACUCCACUCCUCUUGUUCGCUCUUGGGAUGGGGGGGAUUCUUAAGAUGGUAUACCUUCUGUUAAUACUGCAAAGCCAGGCCAAGCACGGAGAGUCUCCCAUUUGUUUUCCUUAGGGGCAGUGCCCUGAAAUGCUCAUUUGUGUGCCUUCUCGCAGUCCUACGGUGUCAAGCCUGUUGAGUGCGUGUGCUUGCAAACCAUCUGUAAAGCCCUACACUUGACGUCCAGGGUACACCUAGAGAGGUCCAGCCAUGGGGUGGUGAGAGGGGUGAAGCACAUAGAGUGUUCGGGGUGCCCGUGGGCCAGCUGGGGAGUCUACAGGUAAGGCAUCCCAAGCAGCUUGUGGGCAGGCCCUUGAUGGAGUCUGUGAAGCAGCUAGUAAGGUAUGUGACCCUUUGUUGAGUUUUAUACUCUGAUUGCUGUGAGUCUCUUGCUUCUGUUCCUUCCUCCACAUUCUCCCAGCUACUCGUUCAUGUGCAUCCCUUCAGUAUUCUGGGUGGAAUGAAGAAGAGGGAGUACUCUUAGGAAGCAUCCUGCACAGCUGGGGAAACUGAGUGUUCGCUCAUUAUACUUUUACAUUUCCCUGUGGGAGUUACUGUGGGCUGAGGGGGUCUGUCGUGUCACUGACCUGUACCACCUACGGGCAGGGGUGACACAGUGAAACUGUUCUUUUUAUUUUCUUCAGUGUUCCUAUGUUUAGAUUUUUUGCUCCAAUGGUGUUCUAGAAUUUCUUCCCUGGACUCUCACAAAGGUACAUUAAUCCAUGGAUAGUUGUCAAAACCAGGGCACUGUGGAGGAAAUGAGAUGAAUAGGAGUAGGAAACUCCUACUCCACCAUCUGGGUCUCUCUGCCUUCUUCAUAUUUACUGUUAUAGACUGAUCUCUCCAGCUGGAAAACUCCUGGAGGACUGAACACUUUCUCAAGUACCACCUGAGUGGACAAAACAUCAACUACUUUUCCUCUGCUCUCAUACCACAGUCAACACAGAAGACUUCCAUGGAACGUGUGGAAACUUAUCCCUACCAACAGGCAAGCGAUCAGUUCUACACUCAAUAGCUUAUUGGUGUCCUCCAAUUCAAUUUCACCACUACCACCCUGGAGACAGCAUCAGAUCACACAGAUUAAGGGCUCAGUCCCACGAGACUUCCUGUCACUUCUGACGCCAAUCACAAGCACCAGGAUGUUUUACCCUUGCUUCUGACCUACGGGCUAUAAAUGGGGGUUCCCAUGGCUUCCUCCUUGGGGUUGAUUAAUUUUCUACAGUGGCUCACAGAACACAGGGAAAUGCUUAUUUAUGCUUACCAGUCUAUUGUAAAGGAUAUUACAAAGGAUACAGAUGAAAUGUUGCACAGGAAAAGGUAAGGGGGAAGAGGGACAGAGCUUCCACGCCCUCCAAGGACGCACUGCCUUGCAGGAACCUCCACAUGUUUGGCUCCCCAGAAACUCUCUAAACCCUGUCCUUUGUGGUUGGCAUGGAGGCUUCAUUAUGUAGGCAUGAUUGACGAGACCAUCGACCCACUGGUGAUCAGUUUAAUUUUCAGCGCCUUUCACCUCCUGGGAGGUGGAGCUGAAUGGGCCAAUCUUCUAAUCCUUCUGGGUCUCUUCAGUGAUCAGCACCCAUCCUGUGAAGCCACAUAUGAGCUGCCAGUCAUAAGUCAACUCAUUAGCAUACAAAAAGAUAACACUUCGAAGAGUCUAAGGAUUUUAGGAGUUGCAUGCCAGGAAAUGGGGACAAAGACCAACUGUAUAUUUCACAAUAUUACACCCUCCCAACCAUGGCACCCAGCGUAUUCCUGAACACAAUAGGAAAUACCUGAUAGAUACUCGUUGACUGAAAAAAGAAGCUGAGUCGUCUGCAGAGAGAGGUACAGGCCUCCUGGAGUCACAAAGCCUGGAGCAACAGGAGAACCACUAAAGAAGAAGAAACAGCUAGUUCCUGCCUUAACCAAUUAACCCACCUUUCAACGUUCCACCACUGUGAUAUGUUCCUGCCCUACCCUAAUUAAUCAACCUUGUGAUAUCCUGCCUUGUGACUAUGCACCUUGUGACAUUCUUUCCCUGCCUUGAAAAACUGCCCCCUAACUGUAACUUUCCACUACCUACCCCAAACCUAUAAAACCAGUUCCACUCCUAUCACCCUUCGCUGGCCCUUUUCUCGGACUCAGGCCACUUGCACCCAAGUGAAUAAACAGCCUUGUUGCUCACACUAA